CACUGGUCGACACUCACUCAUCGGCAGCGUUAACACGAGAAAUCUUGUAAUCUGUCUUGUAUUCUCCAUUCCUUCAGUCUCUCAAAACUUACCUGAGUGACUGGAGGUAUCGGAGCAUGGCCCACAAGGUCUUCAAUGGCUGGCCUGUCCACGGCGCCGCCAAUCACCCACACCUUCUUCAGGGUAUUUGGUGGCAGGAGGGAAAAGACGGCUUCAGCCUGGUCUAGCAGCUCAGCGUGUACUAUUGCCCAGCUAGCACCGCUUAGCCGCAUGGCGUGCAUCAUGCCCUCUGUGCCACUGCUGUUGCUCCCGUUGGUUCUACUGCUGGUCCUCUUGGUUCUUGAUUGUAGUGCAGGAAUCUUGGCGGCCCUCCUGGCACUUGUUGUUAAUGAUGGCAUCUCUUGGUAAGGUGAAGAAGAUUGCUUUUUGGCAUU